GGAUCCAAUUAGCUUGAGGAAAACGUUCACUCUUGCUUAUGUGAAGCUUGGGUAAGGUUGUGAAGAAAUAAUUGGAGCUUGAAAUUGUGAAUAUUGGAACUUGGAGGAAGCUGAUUAGUUGAAUUUUGAAGGGGCUGCCUUGGUUUUAAAUAAUUUGCUUUGGUCGUUACAUGGAAAUCGGCCAAGAUGCAAGUCGAGAGGCAUCUCGUUAGGCGUCUGGACUCUUGAAGCGGAGUGGUUACUGGGUUAUUUUGUUAUGCUAUGAUGUAUAUAUAUGUACUUAGCUUUCUCUCCACAUAACUUAUUCUUUUUGAUCCUCCUAGAGGUGUAUGGAGAGGCAGGAUUUUGUUUAUGUACAUUUGGGUUUUGGAUAUGUAUAUAUAUGUAUAUAUGUGUGUAUAUUCUCCGGCCAGUCUUGAC